rnacentral:lncRNA from 1 species
AACUAUCAGCUAUGAGGCUGGGUUUGCUGGGACCGAGCAUGUAUCGCCGAGAUAGAGCUCUCCUCUAGAAUACAAGAGACCCUGGAUUUGGUUCCCACAACAAUCAGACAGCUCUCUAAAGCUUCAGAGGGGAUGAGGGGAGAGAGCGGCUCUCCCAGUCCACUCACCCGUGUCUUCCUCUUCCUGCCUGUUGGGGUUCAAAGCCAUGACUUGUACGGUCACAGAGUUUCGGGAGACUGUGCCGCCACUUCGCCCUGGAGGCCACACCUUAUGAGUCUGCAUGUGCUUCUUGACGUUAGACUUCUGGGCAAAGGCACGGCCACACGCAAUGCACUGGAAGGGCUUCUCCCCUGUGUGGCUAUAGGAACAAGGCUCACGGAUGGGCAGAGGGCCUGAGAAGGGCACCUCACUUCCCGGCCCUGUGCUGGAGACACCGGCCCUCAGGGCUACUACCUUCGGAUAUGCUGCUGAAGAUCAAAGUUCUUGGUGAAGGACUUGUCACAGUAGGAGCACUUGAGUUUCUGAGCUUUUGGCUUCCCUGCAGCUGGAAGGCAAUGGAGGAGAAGGAUAGUCAGGCUGAGGUCCCAGUGGAGAAAACCUGGGAACCGCUUCUCCCCUAGGGUCAGUCAGGUACACACGUUGGAAACAUCUCUAUCUAUGUGUAGGCACUGUAAGAGGGAAAGUCCAAGGCUUGCUCUGAAGAGAACAGACAAAGCUCUCUCAAAGGCUUCCUCUGCCUCACAAUGAAAUCCACCCUCUCUGUCACGGCCUUCAGAACUCCACUUCCUCAGCCUCUGCCAACUUCAGCAUUCCCUCCAUCUUGCGAUGGACUUCUUGCUCCUCGUGAUGCCCGCACACAUGGUCUUCCCUCAGGACUUUGUACCUGUUCAUCCCCCUGCCUGGGAAGCUUGCUCCCAGGUACCAACAUGACUUCUUCCUUCCCUCCAGAAA